UCCGCACCUUCCCUAAUUUACAUUAGAAAAUAGUGUAGAGGUGCCAUGAAAUGUCACAUUAGUGAAUUAACGAGUGUUGCAAAAAGAGAGAACGAAGUAAACGGGAAAAAGUGUCCAUACAUCCUUAUUCCUUCAUUCGACUCAAUUUCGAGUAGGUAAACAAGACAAACAUUUCAAAAAGGAACGACGAAGCUUGUGUAUUCAGACGAGUUGUUAAUUUUUGAUGAGUAUUAGGUAGAGUUAUAUUUGUUUGAAUCUGUGUGUCUUUCAUUCUCUGGAGAAAUGGAGAAUAAAAGAAAAAGAUGAUAACAACAAG
ensembl:ncRNA VC5.9 ncRNA